CCUACGGGUGGCAGCAGUGAGGAAUAUUGGUCAAUGGACGAGAGUCUGAACCAGCCAAGUAGCGUGAAGGAUGAAUGCGCUAUGGGUUGUAGACUUCUUUUAUAUGGGAAUAAAACAGGGGAUGCAUACCCUCCUGUAAGUACCCGAAGAAUAAGGAUCGGCUAACUCCGUGCCAGCAGCCGCGGUAAUACGGAGGAUCCGAGCGUUAUCCGGAUUUAUUGGGUUUAAAGGGUGCGCAGGUGGAGUGUUAAGGCAGUUGUGAAAGUGUGCGGCUCAACCGGACAAGUGCAGUUGAAACUGGCGGCCUUGAGUACAGUAGAGGUAUGCGGAAUGCGUGGUGUAGCGGUGAAAUGCUUAGAUAUCACGCAGAACUCCGAUUGCGAAGGCAGCGCGCUGGACUGCAACUGACACUGAUGCUCGAAAGUGUGGGUAUCGAACAGGAUUAGAUACCCUUGUAGUC
rnacentral:rRNA from 1 species